AACCCCCCACCCCCCCCCCCCCACCCAGAGAGGGCCUUUUUUGACCUUCCGGGGGAAGGGGGGGGGGGGGGCUGGCGUGAUGUAAUGGUUUGAGCGGAGGGGUCGCGUGGGCCAGCUGGGUGCUCUCAUCAAGUAAUAAAAAAAAGAAAAGGGCUGUAGAAGAGUUGAGUUCCAUAAACAUGUAAAUAUAAAUGUACCGUAUGUGUAGCUGACCUGGGAUCAGUGGUUUUAGUGUGAAUUCUUGCCACAUAUCGAGGAUAUUUAAAGGAAUAUUUGGGGAGAUUAACUUGUUUGUUGAGUGAGAUGGAUUCCAAAAAAAAAAAAAAAAAAGUUUUCCAGGAACCUUCAAUAAACAAAACAUCUAAAUCAAUACUUCAUUCAAAUGUGACUUGUGGAAAGAUACAUGUUCUAUUUCUUUAAGUUACUGCAAUACGCACAUACAAAAUAUCUUCAUAUAAAAGUAUGUAGCACAAAACUGAUUUUUAUGUACAAUAUAAGUCUUUUUAAGUAUAUAACUAUUAAGUUUUUCUGUUGGCGGGAAAAGCACCAACAUUGGAGAAAUAAGUUUGUUUCACAAAUGAUUACUUACUCACAGCUCACUUCUGCAUUAUCUUGUAUAGUUUGUGCUUUAAUGUGGUUGAGAGGAGGACCGAUAAAAGACGUUUUGCCAAAGACGAGGAAUCAAAUUGCUGCGAUGCAAUAAUAAUAGUGUAGUCAAUGUGUUAUGUUACGGAAAAAAAGGUUGUUAUACAGUAACAAGAAAAAUAUGAGCAAGCUGUUUAACAGCAACGACGUCAAAACAGGGUAUUUUCUUUUGGAAAAAUAUACUUUCUGCAAUUUCACACGUCAAAAUGCUUCAACAACUGCCUGUUUAUUUGCAAUAAUACUGUUUUAGAGAUGUGUGGUAAUAGUGGACACUUUUCUGUCUCUGUGUCGAUAUGAAACAUGUGAUCAAAUAAAGAAUUCCUCGAUGUGUCGAUUGGGACUCUCUUAUGACAAAGCUCAAGAAAAACACUCCAGACAGCAGACAAGAUAAGAGUUUACAGCCUUAAAAAAAUCAAAUAAUUUAUUUCUGUGUUCUUUUUCCACAUUAAAUAAAAGCUAUCGGACAUUUCCAGAUCAAAAUCAAGAGGGGACGGGGGAGAGGAACAGGGGAAACAGAAACAUGACAUGCAGAAGAACUUUGCUUUCCCCUUUGCACGCUUCAUGGAGCCAGCCCCCGAAAAACACUGCAGAAAAGCCCCCGCAGGUCUCCACCACCACCACAGCUUCUUUAGUGGAAAACAUCUGGUCUAUAUGACCCUGGUUUCUGGGGGGGGGGGGGGGGGAGGGGGGCUGUAGGAUGGCAGACGUCUCCCCGGGUGAGGAGCAGGGAUCUGAUUGUUAUCAUUUACCGCUUGGACACCACAGAGGACGUCCAGGAGGAGGAAAGAACCUGUGAACACUGAACUGGCUUGUAAAUUCAAAACUUAUCCCGAAUGCAUUGUCAGAGAGGGGGGGGACGGGACGCGGCUACCGUCCGACGGGCGACGCAGCCCUUCAGUCGGAGACCAGGAGCGAUCCACGAGGAAUUGCCAGGAUCUCACAAGAGCCCAAGAAGGAAAGAAAGAAACCCUAAAACGCCUCUUCAUACAUACGGACCGCCGGAUGGAGCCAGACGGCUUGGUUUUGGGAGGUGUUACAUGGAGAGGGGGGGGGGAAUUAAACACAGGGUGAUCAUUUAAAUUUAAACAGCGUCAGAGGAGCAGUAAAGGAAAUAGUCGCUGAGGGGGGAGCGUUUUUUUCCUCUCGCUUGUCCGUUGAGAAGCGCUCCAUAUUCUCUGGAUGGGCUGAAGUAGAAACAAAUCAAAAAACAAAAAUAAAAUCUCGACAAGACAACCCGACCCUUCCUUCCCAAAGGAUGAUUCAACUCAAAAACAUGCGCUCAUUAUAUCCAGGGAAUACAUCAACACUCUUAUACAAACCCCAAAGAAAAGAAUAGUGAAUAGUACGUCAUCUGAACCUUUGUGCCAAACGCGCACACAAAGACACACACACAGACACACACAGGCUGGUGUGAAGGUGGCACCUCUGUAAACAGCCACUUUAUCUUUCAGUCCUGGGCCCCGGGGACGAGACGUCUCAGCUGCUCUGCUGACGAGGGGAAACAAAACCCAGAACUUCACCGACUGGGCGGCGGCUCAUCGGCCCGCGAGUCUGUGAACCCGUCCGGCCGCCAAACAGCCGUCAGCGCAGUUUGUCUUUGUGCAGCUGAUGCUACUGUGGUCGUUCCCCGCGGGUAAAAGCACGCAGACGUCCAACUGCAACAUUUGAAAGUUGACUUUCGAGAAAAAUUGCAUUAACAACCUGUGAUGUAAAGUUUUGUUUUAAUUUCUAUUUUAAAAGAUUGAAACGUGUUUAUUCGUCCCUCAGCCAUCGGCCGCAUCGUCUCCCGUCCUCGCUCGCAGCAAACGCUUAAGACGAGUCCUGGAACGCUAAAAAUAACGCAAAGUGUGUGAUUUGUGACGAUUUGUUCGUCUACACUUCUCCUGUGCACGACGUAAAAAAGGUCUAACCGAUCCACAGCCAGUCAAAAUAACACACACACACACAGACACACACAGACACUGCAGCGGUUCCAGAAGAAGUCUGACCUUUGUUCAUAAACAGUGUGGAUCGGAAAGGUCAGGGUGCAUCCAAGACACGCUCCCAAAAUGUCGGCGAGGUUGGUCGUGCAUCGGUCGAGGGCACCGCGGACUCAGCGGCUUCGGAGCAGCAUGAGGUUACACAGGUGU
ensembl:lncRNA